UCUGCAGUCGAGCGAACUGAUUAGAAGCUUGCUUCUAUGACGUUAGCGGCGGACGGGUGAGUAACACGUGGGCAACCUGCCUGUAAGACUGGGAUAACUUCGGGAAACCGAAGCUAAUACCGGAUAGGAUCUUCUCCUUCAUGGGAGAUGAUUGAAAGAUGGUUUCGGCUAUCACUUACAGAUGGGCCCGCGGUGCAUUAGCUAGUUGGUGAGGUAACGGCUCACCAAGGCAACGAUGCAUAGCCGACCUGAGAGGGUGAUCGGCCACACUGGGACUGAGACACGGCCCAGACUCCUACGGGAGGCAGCAGUAGGGAAUCUUCCGCAAUGGACGAAAGUCUGACGGAGCAACGCCGCGUGAGUGAUGAAGGCUUUCGGGUCGUAAAACUCUGUUGUUAGGGAAGAACAAGUACGAGAGUAACUGCUCGUACCUUGACGGUACCUAACCAGAAAGCCACGGCUAACUACGUGCCAGCAGCCGCGGUAAUACGUAGGUGGCAAGCGUUAUCCGGAAUUAUUGGGCGUAAAGCGCGCGCAGGCGGUUUCUUAAGUCUGAUGUGAAAGCCCACGGCUCAACCGUGGAGGGUCAUUGGAAACUGGGGAACUUGAGUGCAGAAGAGAAAAGCGGAAUUCCACGUGUAGCGGUGAAAUGCGUAGAGAUGUGGAGGAACACCAGUGGCGAAGGCGGCUUUUUGGUCUGUAACUGACGCUGAGGCGCGAAAGCGUG
rnacentral:rRNA from 1 species